ACCGAAGAAGACGCCGGCGAAAAAGAAGAAGCAAAGGAAGAAAAAAGUGAGGGAGAAACCACAGUAGAAAAAGGAAAAAAGCAAAAAGCAAUACUAUAGCUUCAUGUGGGGUUUGUACAUAAAAGGAUAUUAAAAUAAGGCGUGGUUGCAAACAGCUUCUAUUCUCCGUUCAUCUGUGGCUGUGGCUGUGGCUUUCAUCUUCUUUCUUGGAGAUUCCUUUCCCACUUCGCGUUAUCAGUUCGAUUCCUCCAACAGUGGCUUCAAAUUCUCUUCAAAAUCAUUCUCAUUCUUGCAUUGAGUACUCUACUGCCCCUUCUUUUGAUCGUUUGUGUUGAUCAUUCCUAUUGUUUUACUCUGGAUUUUCCUGUGGUGAAUUCAGAGUUUGAUUUGUUGCUUACUUCCUAAUAUUUCAUGGUUGAAGUUAUUGGAAACAUACUUUCUCAUCUAAAAUCUGCUAGAGAUGCGGUGAUUGCUUCGGUUACUUAUAAGAAAUGGAGAUAGGCUUGGCGGAAUCACCUCCAUUCUUUGACCUUCAACUCGAAUGUUUGGCCUUAUCCUGAUGAAAUUUCAACGUGAACCUUGGAAGUUAUUAUAACACAAACAAUACCUCAGACCACUGGACUUCAGAACUUGUCCAUUUUCAUGGAUGAUGAUGUAGAUGCAUUCUUCUCGUUGAUUUCUUGGCUCAUGUGUACGAGAGACACAAUCUGUUGACUUCACUAUAAUGUGAAGACUAUUCCAAGUAUCAAUGUAAUUGAUAAGUGUGGUGGACAAAAACUGGAAAGGCUAAUAAUUCGAUAAGCGGCAUUGAACCGACGUAUCAUAAGUUCUCUUGCUUGAAAUAUCUAUCUCUCAGUAAUAUCAUCAUAUCUGCAACCUUCUUCUUGCAGUUUGUCUCAAGCUUGAAAAGUUCGCUCUAAUUAACCCAGAACUUGUGAUGUCAGAUACGCAGACAGCAAUGGAACAUAGCAGUUCUCCAUUGAAGGAUAUCUUUGUUGGAAACCUCGGUUUAUAGAAGUUCACUCUAGAGCUUGAUACCCUUGAAAUUUUACAUUUAAAAGAAUGUGCUAUACAUAUUUUUGAGCUCAUUGGAAAAGCAACUCUAAUGAGUCUUGAAGAUAGACGAUUUUAGUGGUUUCCAACUGAACGUAGGCAAGAACAUAUGAAAUUAUGGACGUCUGCAGUUUUGCUUCGGAUGUGAGGUGCAGCAUGUGAUUAUAGUGAUGAAGAUGUGGAUUUGUACUCAAUUUCCAUCUCUUUCUCCAAGUUAAGCUAUUUAUCUUUGCAUUAUUAUCCAAGGCAUGGAACCUUUCAUCAUAACUUUCGGGAAUCCUUUCAGAUGGAGAAUGUGACCAUACUAGAACUUGGAUGGAGCGACACUAGCGAUCCCUUCUCUAACUGGGUGGCUAAACUUCUUGAAAAAUGCCCUAAGUUGAAGAAAUUGAUAAUUUGUGGGGCUGUAUCAGAGAUUAAUAACCACGAGGAAUGCCAAAACUUAGCUCACUUCAUCACAUAUUUCGUUGAACUUAUGAGAAAAUAUCUGCAUAUUGAGGUCCAGUUUGGUUUCGAAUAGCAUUUAGGCAACUGCGGAAGCGCAAAUGUAACUACUUAGGUAUAUUGUCUCCAGAAUUGUCAUCAUCAUCGAAGUUAUGAAAAGUAUGUUUUCCUCUCUAUCUUUAACUUCAAGCAAUUGUAAAUCCAUAUGUUCUUGGAAAGAAAUAAGAUCUCUGUUUUCCUUACCAUCCUACUAAUAUUUCUUAUUGGCUUUCCUUCUUUUGAUCUUUUUUUACAUAACAAUGUUUGCACUUGACAUUUUACCGAUGUUAUGCUAUCCUUUGACCCAAAUGCCCGAGGCAUUAAGAGAUGCAUGUGUUCCCCUGCUAACAAGAAAUAUUUUUUUUACUGUUGCUUUCCCAUGAGAUUUUGCUCCAUGACUGACAUUUAUCCUACACUCUUUGGGCCAAAGACCACCGAAAAAAUCAAACCUGUCAUCAUCAUCUUAGUUGUUUUACUCAAUAAUAACCCCCCAUUUUCUACUACUUGUUAUGUAUUUGUAACUGUUUUUAUGUCAUGGAUAUGCCAAAGCCAAAUAGUUCUUUCCAGUUUCAAUUUGUUGCUAAAUGGUAAUAGAUGCUAUUUUUACAGAAUUGGAAACCUUUCUGGCUCCUAUAUUGAAAUGAAAGAAGAGAGAAAAAUAAAAAUUAGAGUAAUGAUUAAAUUUGAUUUUGUUAGAUUGAUUUUUUUUUUUUAAUUUUGAGAUCUUGAGAAGGUAUCCAAAUAUUGAAAAAUAGAAAAAGUGUAGAACCCAAGUUAGAUAAAUUGAUUGUAAGACUAUGAAGUUCAGAUUUUGAACCAAUCGAAACCAGAUAAAAUAUGAUACCGCAAAGGUGAUUCAUUCUCUAUUCUAAUCUUUAUAGCUUACAAAGACCGGAAGAUUUAUCAGAUUUUAUGCAGAUUAUGCCUAUCUACUUCAUUACAAAACCUCGACGAAUCCAUAAGGAAGCAAAGUCAAAAUCUUGUACUGCUAGGCCAUUCAUCAGUACAAGAUUUGAGUCAAUGAAGAAAAUUAUGACGAGCAGCUCAAAUUCCUACUAGAUGUUCUGCUCUCUAAGAUGCCGAGUUCUCGAUUUCCUGCAUGCACGAGGUUUUCCUGUGACCCUUUGGAAGUUAUCUGCUAACUACUUAAGUGCGUUCCAUGUUGCCAUAAGCAUGACCGGAACAUUUGAACAUUUUCUUUCACAAUGGACAGCUCAAAGUUCUCCUCAUUACACGAAGCUUUUCCUUUGCUCUUUGUGCUUUCGUAUGAAAAUUCUUUGUUUCCUCCAAGUACUGCAAAAAUGUAGGGUAACAGCAAAGUUAAAUCUCAGAUAUUUUAAAGAAGGUACUGUUGAAGGACAGAUGCAGCUCAAAUCCAUGUUUUUAAAAGACAUCAUGAUCAUUGUGGCAAUCAGGUCAAACUCUUGGAUUGAGAAAGAUGUUGAAGGGACGACUUUACUGUGUUCUUGAAAUUUAAAGAAAGAACUUCAAGGAAAUAAAAUUUGCAUACAUUGAUUACAAGAUUAGGAUCUAACUACAAAUUUUAUUUCCUUGAAUUUCUUUCUUUAAAGAUGCAAUACAUUCGAAGUGAGAGAGAUAUCAGGUGACCAGUAUAUAUCUUUACAGCUGCCAAACACGUAUGCUGAUAGAUGCUAUGCAACAAUUUUUAGAUGUACAUAAAUUUUACACAUGAAGAGAUAUAGCAGUUAUUAUUUGAAAUGUCAAUCGUGCAUUUAUUUUCAUAUCAUAAGGAAAUAAAAUGCAAUUCUAUCCUACUUAAUAUUGCUUGAAAUUGUAUCAGGUUAGGAAUGGAGCAGUCAAUAGCCAGUUGUUUUAGAAAAGGCCUGUUUCAAAGUAGGGAUGAAAAUGCAUUUUCUUGCCAUUUUACUGAAUAACUAUCAAAGCUGUACUAGAAAAAGAAAAAUGCACCUGUUUUCUAGCUCUAGACCUUGCAGCUGACUCUCUAUUCUUUAUCAUCCUUCU